CUCGACCACGGGUAUUCUUGGGUUGAUAAUACGGAUCUCGAUGUUAUUGCUUGAGAAUACGCGUAGCUGAG
rnacentral:pre_miRNA from 1 species